rnacentral:rRNA from 1 species
CAGCAGCCACGGUAAUACAGAGGGUGCGAGCGUUAAUCGGAUUUACUGGGCGUAAAGCGUGCGUAGGCGGCUUCUUAAGUCGGAUGUGAAAUCCCCGAGCUUAACUUGGGAAUUGCAUUCGAUACUGGUUAGCUAGAGUGUGGGAGAGGAUGGUAGAAUUCCAGGUGUAGCGGUGAAAUGCGUAGAGAUCUGGAGGAAUACCGAUGGCGAAGGCAGCCAUCUGGCCUAACACUGACGCUGAGGUACGAAAGCAUGGGGAGCAAACAGGAUUAGAUACCCCAGUAGUCCCUGUCUCUUAUAC